rnacentral:rRNA from 1 species
UACGUAGGGGGCAAGCGUUGUCCGGAUUUAUUGGGCGUAAAGCGCUCGCAGGUGGUUCGUCGCGUCGUGCGUGAAAGACCCCGGCUCAACUGGGGAGGGUCGUGCGAUACGGGCGGACUGGAGGCCAGUAGGGGGAUGCGGAAUUCCGGGUGUAGUGGUGGAAUGCGUAGAGAUCCGGAGGAACACCAGCGGCGAAGGCGGCAUCCUGGACCGGUAUUGACGCUGAGGCGCGAAAGCGUGGGGAGCGAACAGG